AUGUUCAGCUCAUGCCCUAUGAAUAAGGUGUCACUCUAUUCUGCCCUUAAGUGCCCAGAGACCCUCUCAAGUCACCUUGUCAGCUUCACUUCUUUUCCCCAGCCCAAAACUAAGAUACACCAAGCCUUGUCAACUUCAUUUUGGGGUUUGUUUUCUUCCAAAGGGACCUAUGCUCAGAGGCAGAAAAGGACGAUUAUAAAGGAAAACAGAAAAGCAAGUGGAGGUGAAAAAAGAAGAGACAAUUGUAAAGGAAUUGGUCAAGAUCAUAUGAGUCAAAGCCAGACCUCUCAGAGACCUUCCUUGGAAUUUUUCAAGUUGGAACAGGGAGAAAGGAGUAAGUCCUCUUUCUACCAGCUGCCUGCCUGCAAUUCCAUGCCUCAAAACCUGAUGAAUGUUUCAAGGAACAAGGCAGAGUGAAACAAUGGGAAGAAAGAGGGUAUCCAACGUCCCAACAUCCAGUCACCUGAGGCCAGCUUACCCAUGUUCCAUGGCCCAACACAAGCCCCUUUCUGCUUAAGCUUGUUUGAAUUGGGUUUCUGUCCAUUGUAAGCAAAAGAAAACUAACUAAUGCCUAUUGGGCUUAAUGCCUAGGUAUUGGGUUGAUAGUUGCAACAAACCGCUAUGGCACACAUUUACUUAUGUAACAAGCCUGUACAUCCUGCACAUGUACCCUGGAACUUAAAAUAAAAAUAACAGUUUAAAAAAAGAAAAAAGAGAA
rnacentral:lncRNA from 13 species